rnacentral:lncRNA from 1 species
GACCUCGCCCAUGACGUCCUUCCCCGCUGGCCUCAGGGGCGCACACUUGUAUACCCACCUAGGUGGGCGCCGCUGUACCCGGGAAUGCGGCCUGGGAGGGUGGAGCCACGCAGGCAGAGUCCUGGAGGAAUCUCCGUACCCGCUCCACUCGACUUCCGACAUUUUACCUUGGCUAAAAGUAUGGAGAGAACUUGGAAAAUCAGAGCUUUGUGGAACCUCCUACCGAUGUGGGCUUUGACCUGCCACGCGGCCGCGCGCCCUUUUUGUAGUCAGAGAGUGUGCCUCGCCCUUGUUUGUGUCGCUGGGGUCUAGCACUUGUGAGGCGUUCCAUUAAUGUUUGUUGGUGGGAGGAAUAAAUGUCUCAGAGGAAGGACAUGCCACGUAUACAGGGGAGAGUGACCCUCGUUCUUCGGUCUCUUCCCAGCUGCUCCCGUGACGUUAGGGAAAAGGCUCGCUUCACGCUCUCACCCGACCCAGUGUGAAGCGCCUCCAGCCACCGGAUACCUUCCCUAGCCCCAGUAAAAAGGUCGGGGAAGGAACGGGAAAGCCAAGGCCUACAAAUAUUUAAGUGACUGUUUAGCGAGAACUAAUAUUCGUUGAGUGCCCACUAUGUGGAACCAAGGACCUUGCAUGUGUUAUGUCAUUUAAUCGUAAAACUUGGCUCUACACUGAAGACAGUACUUCCCUUGCAGUUCUUUUUGUUUCUUUGGUUUUGUGGCUUUUUUGAGACAAAGUCUCGCUCUGUCGCUCAGGCUGGAGUGCGGGGGCACGAUCACGGCUCACUGCAGCCUUGACACUCCCAGGCUCAAGCGAUCCUCCUGCCUCAGUCUCCGGUGUAGCUGGAGCUGGUACCACGGGUCCGCGCUACCACGCCCAGCUAAUUUUUUUUUUGUAGAGC